rnacentral:rRNA from 1 species
UGGGGAAUAUUGGACAAUGGGCGCAAGCCUGAUCCAGCCAUGCCGCGUGAGUGACGAAGGUCUUCGGAUUGUAAAGCUCUUUUGGCGGGGACGAUAAUGACGGUACCCGCAGAAUAAGCCCCGGCUAACUUCGUGCCAGCAGCCGCGGUAAUACGAAGGGGGCUAGCGUUGUUCGGAAUCACUGGGCGUAAAGCGCACGUAGGCGGACUUAUAAGUCAGGGGUGAAAUCCCGGGGCUCAACCUCGGAACUGCCUCUGAUACUGUGAGUCUCGAGACCGGAAGAGGUGAGUGGAAUUCCUAGUGUAGAGGUGAAAUUCGUAGAUAUUAGGAAGAACACCAGUGGCGAAGGCGGCUCACUGGUCCGGUUCUGACGCUGAGGUGCGAAAGCGUGGGGAGCAAACAGGAUUAGAUACCCCCGUAGUCCCUGAGCGGGCUGGCAAGGCGCAU